AGCGAACGCUGGCGGCAGGCUUAACACAUGCAAGUCGAGCGGGCAUCCUUGUGGUGUCAGCGGCAGACGGGUGAGUAACGCGUGGGAACGUGCCCUUCGGUUCGGAAUAACUCAGGGAAACUUGAGCUAAUACCGGAUACGUGCGAGAGCAGAAAGGUUUAUCUGCCGAAGGAUCGGCCCGCGUCUGAUUAGCUAGUUGGUGAGGUUACGGCUCACCAAGGCGACGAUCAGUAGCUGGUCUGAGAGGAUGAUCAGCCACACUGGGACUGAGACACGGCCCAGACUCCUACGGGAGGCAGCAGUGGGGAAUAUUGGACAAUGGGGGCAACCCUGAUCCAGCCAUGCCGCGUGAGUGAUGACGGCCUUAGGGUUGUAAAGCUCUUUUCUCCGGGACGAUAAUGACGGUACCGGAGGAAUAAGCCCCGACUAACUUCGUG
rnacentral:rRNA from 1 species